CUUGGCUUCCAGAGUUUUUGUCGGGUUGGUUUCAUUGGCAGUAGAUCAAGAAAAGAUAUAUUAACGGAGUUGUAAAUGUACAACAUCAAUUAGGCCUGUUACAGACGAAGAACUUUCCAUGUGCCGAACCUAAUGCAAAUUAGCAAAAUCCUUUGUUUCGCAGAUCAUUAAUCGAGACUGCAGAAUUUUUGAUAUCAUUCUGUUCUACUCUCCUCAAGUUGGUGUUAAGCACAAUUGACUUGAUUAUCAACUGCAUCAUGGC